rnacentral:lncRNA from 1 species
GAGAAAUUGAAAGCUGAAGCUACCAUGGAAAGGAAUGACUUUGCAUAUCUUAUAGAGGGGAUGGAAGACCAAGCAAAUGAUGAAAAGUGCUACCCAAUGCUGGUUGUUCUGGCAUAUCUUCUGCCACCGUUGCCUGGAAGUCGCUGCAGUGUUAAAUAUGAAAUUUAAUUCCUUCAAUUUCCAUUUGUACCGCCUGGAGCCAUAUUGCAUCCCUCUGCAGCAGUUUUGAGACCGCAUCAAAGACCAGACCACAGCCAAUCUACAUUGAGAGUUUGAAGAGCACAACAUGACAAUACAUUGCGACGAUUGACAAAAUGACCAUUUCUGUGGAUGAGGGCCUGACGUGCUGUGGACAAGAUAUUCUAGGUGUGAAACUUCUGUCCACCACAGAUUAGUUCUGUCUUCACUUUCUAAGACUGGGACAUCUAAUAUUGAAACGCCACAUUCUCUUCCUUUUAAAACUGACAUUCCUACUUACUGUGCCUCUUUUGUGGCCCAAAUGUAUUCUUCAUCAAAUACAACUAGUGGAUGUAACAAGAAGUAUUACUUCACAAUUAGCACACUUACAAUUUUACAAUAUUUACAACAUUGAUUGUCAUUGAGAACAAUUUCAAAAUAUG